rnacentral:tRNA from 1 species
AAUAUAGUGCCAGAUUUAUGGGUUACAUUGAUGUUGUAGAGUAAGAAAUUUUGAUUUCCUAUAUUA